AAACGACACGAAAAGUUGCCUACUCCCCACUAAUUCUGAAAUGAUGUAUUAUUUUUUAAAAUAUUUUACAACAGCGAAAGUACUAAGAAGGUUCCUCGUUAGCUGCUGAUGGAUGCUGCUGACCGUCCAACCCAGUCCAGCGACGGCUACAAUAACCUCACGAAGCGGCACCUUUCGACCACCGGGCGAGAGAUAGCGAGACUGAGAGAUAGGGGGAGGAGAGAGAGAGAAGGGUAGAGAGAGAGAGAGAGUGAGGAUGCAGGGCGCAGCCUGGGGUGCGCCCGCGGCGGCGGCGGGGGGAUUGGGGAUGAUGGGGUCAACGUUGGGGACGGUGAUGUUCGUGUGGAUGGCGAUCGGGCAGUUCUUCCCCCACUUGUCGCACCUCCAUCUGCGCAGAUGGAGGGAGAAGAUGGUCGGCUACGUCUACCCCUACGUGCAAAUCUCCUUCCCUGAAUUCGUGGGGGAGCGUCUCAGGCGCAGCGAGGCCUUCACCGCCAUCGAAAUCUACCUCUCCACCAACUGCGGCGGCGCCGCCAGGCGCCUCCGUGCGGAGCUCGGCAAGGACAGCUCCCAGCUGGUCCUCAGCAUGGACGAGCACCAAGAAGUAGUCGACGUCUUCGAAGGCAUCUCCUUCUGGUGGAGCUCCUCCGUCUCCACCGCCAAGUCCCCGCAGUUUUCCUUUUACCCAUCGCAGGAGGAGAAGCGCUCAUUCCGUCUGACCUUCCACCGCGACCACCGCGACCUGGUCAACGGCCCCUAUCUCGCCGCCAUCAUGGCGAAGGGGAAGGAGAUCUUGGCGCGCCGCCGCCAGCGGAAGCUCUUCACCAACAGCCCCACGAGAGACUCCCACUACCGCCAACGCCUGUGGAGCCACGUCCCUUUCGAUCACCCGGCAACCUUCGACACCAUCGCCAUGGAUCCCCAGAAGAAGGAGGAGCUCAUUCAGGACCUGCUCAACUUCCGCGAGAGCAAGGACUAUUACCGGAAGGUGGGCAAGGCCUGGAAGAGAGGGUACCUUCUUUACGGCCCCCCGGGGACCGGCAAGUCCACCAUGAUCGCCGCCAUGGCGAACCUCUUGGAGUACGACGUGUACGACCUGGAGCUCACCGCCGUGAAUGACAACUCCUCCCUCCGAAGGCUUCUUAUCGAGACCAGCAGCAAGUCCAUCAUCGUCAUCGAGGACAUCGACUGCUCUCUGGAUCUCACUGGGAGCCGGCAGNNNNNNNNNNNNNNNNNNNNGCCAUGGCGGCGCCGCCGAAGCCGACGCGUGCUUGGACGUGCUCGUUGGGGCACUGGAAGACUCCAAGGCCAAGGCCGCCGCCGCGAAGGCGGCGGAGGAGGCCACCAAGGCGGUGGUGGAGAUCUCGCCGGAGCCGGAUGAGACGACGGAGGGGGUCGCUGAGGCGGCUGCGGAGGUCCCGCCGGAGCCGGAGAAGCCGACGGAGAAGGGUAAGCCCGGUGAGGCUACACCAUCAACACAUGGGCCCAAUUCGCCCUCGGAGGUCUCGCGGAUGCCAGAGAGGAGGGCGGAGGAGGUCACUGAGGCGGUGGCAGAGGUCCCAGCGGAGACGGAGAAGGCGGCGGAGUGAGGAAUCCGUCAAACCGGGCAGUGUGAACGCGGAGACCACUUUUCUCCUUGGAACAGAAAAAAUAAAAGACUCGUCCUUUCCACGUUCGUGGGUAAAAUAAUAGAAAAACCCUAUUUCUCUUUCAUUUUGACCUUUUGGCACACAGAGACGAAUGGCCCUAAGAAGACUUCCCUCUUUUCUCAGCCGCUCGUCAUACGAGUCAACGGUGUGUGACGACGACCUGGGGCACAAGCUUUAUGGGCUAUUGAGCCGUUCACAUAUCUGAGCCCAGUCCAAAUUACAUUCUGCUCGGUCCAGAGCCGUCAAAAUAUGAAUCC
rnacentral:lncRNA from 1 species